rnacentral:rRNA from 1 species
GAUGAACGCUGACAGAAUGCUUAACACAUGCAAGUCGAUGGGGAAGUGGUGCUUGCACCAUGGCAACCAUGGCGGACGGGUGAGUAACGCGUAAGGGACUUACCUGCAGGACUGGGAUAACAGGGGGAAACUCCUGACAAGACCGGAUAAUGUCAUGGAGCUGCAUGGCUUUAUGAUGAAAGGAGACGCCUGCGGAGAGCCUUGCGUCCUAUUAGCUAGUUGGUGAGGUAAUGGCUCACCAAGGCGAAGAUAGGUAGCCGGCCUGAGAGGGUGGACGGCCACAAGGGGACUGAGAUACGGCCCUUACUCCUACGGGAGGCAGCAGUGGGGAAUAUUGGACAAUGGGGGCAACCCUGAUCCAGCAAUUCUGUGUGCACGAAGAAGGUUUUCGGAUUGUAAAGUGCUUUCAGCAGGGAAGAAGUAAGUGACGGUACCUGAAGAAGAAGCGACGGCUAAAUACGUG